AAGGACCAUCAUUAGGCAACAGUGCCAACCUCGCUGGGCUUUCAGCCCCUUCUUCAACUGAUAAUAUUCCCAUAUUCAAGUUAAUAUCUGUUUUCACAAAGCCAGGGCAGACACAAUUGAUGCGAAAAGUUGGCAACUUCUUGGCUAGGAUUCUUGUGUAGGCAUUCAUAGCUGCUUUUGAGAGUAUAUAGGCAGACAUAAAAGCAGGCCAACGUUUGCUUUCGAGUGAACCCUCUUUAUAAUCUUUUAGAUACUUGCUCAACACCUCAUCAAUUCUCUCUUCUGAUAGGUUGUCAGCAUCAACAAACACCUCUUUAGCCCAUUCAUUUGUUACAUUCUGAAACAAAUUACAAGAGAACACUUUUAGCUAUCACCAUCAUUAUCAAAGUCACAAUUAACCAUCCAAUUUUAUCAGGAAGAAACUAAGGAAUGGCAAAACAAUCAGUUGUUCAAUGGGGAAUUAUUGCUGCAUUCUAGAAUUCAACAUGGGUAUACACUAUACAGUUAUUAUUUUCAAUGGCUCCAGCAAAAAAUUUGCAUUCUGUUCAGCAUAGCUGAACUUUUGUCCAAUUCAGCCACUUGAAUCAAACUGGAGAAAGUUUCUUUACAGAAACAAUGAUCUGUAGCAAAAUGUCAUACGAUUUCACCUUCAACUUCCCCAAGGAGGAGGAAACAUUGACAAUCCUCGGCGAAUCAGACAAUUGGAGCAGGGGAACAAGCGCCGCGACCAUUCUUUUUGCACCAUAAUAGUUUAUGGCUAGGCAUUCUUCAGUUAACUCGUAUGUUUGAGUUAUUAUUUUAUGCCAAUUGAUUUUUUCACCUUCCUUACUAGACUCGGCUCUUAAAACAUCAGCAUCAGCUCUAACUCCAGGAACACCAGCAUUGUUCACCUGUGGGGAGGUGCAGCAUCUUUAAUUAUUCAACUUGUAAAAAGCUCAACAUAAAAUAAAAAGAAAACCUUUAGAAGUUUUCAUCUUUUUACUAUUAGGUUCACUUCAGAAAUUUAAUAGCAAAUGGACUAAAAUCUUGAAAUUUUCAUUUUCCAGCAUUAAGAAUUCAAUAAAACAUUUGGACGGCCAACAUUCCACAUUUCACACCCUUAUGCUCAUUUCUCCCGAUUAAUUGAGAAACAAAAAAUAAAGAAGAAGCAGUGUUGCUGCUGCAAGU
rnacentral:misc_RNA from 1 species